UCACUGAACGAUGUUGUUAAAUUUGAUCUUUUAAUAAAAAUGUCUUUAUAAACUGACAUAAAUAUGAAAACUGUUGCCUUAUGCAAGAGACACACACUGGGAAACUGAUUUUACUAUUACAGAACAUGCAUGCUCUAGGUUGUAAGUCCCUGUGUUGUUUACUUGCUUCAAUCUGUUUUUCUCCAUGUUCUUGCCCACUUAUUUUCUCCUAUGUAGCUUUUCCCUGAAAGUGUCUUUAAUGAAUGUUACUAGGACACUCUUUAGAUUGAACACUAAGAAGGGAACCUUGAGAACAGAUGCCAAAAAUACUGGGAACAGUUUGGAGGUGGAAUUACAAUCCUGCACUUGGCUGUGUGAUCAUGGACAAAUUACUGAACCUUUGAACCUUGAAUUACGUAUCUGUAAAACUGCAGAAAUAAUAUAUAGCAUACAAAAUUGUUAAAUCCUUUCCAUUAGCACCCUUCUCUUCUCCAGGUCUGUAUUUAUCAUCCCAUCUCCUUACCAGUGCUCAGUAUUUGGCAACAUCCAAAUUAACAAAGAUUCAUAUUAACCUAAACCCUUUAAAGUGUUUAUAGAGCAUAAACUCAGUCAUGGUCAGUAUCAAAACGACUUUUAAAUGAUUUCUAUUUAUCCUGGUACCCUUUGGGGGCCAAGUUUUAGAAAGCUGAACAAGCUGGUUGUAACUAACCAGGGCAGACCAUGAAAUCUCUAGCUAUAGAGAUGUUCAGUGAGUAUCCAGUUAGUAGCUAUGUAUUUUUGAUUUGGUAUCUGUAUCUUACAUAGGCAGACAGCAACAUAAGCCCAUGUGUUCACAAGGCUGCUCACCUGGUCAGAGCUCACGGUCAUGGGCUCCUUCAGCAGCAGCCACACAAUGCACUCCUCACAGGGUGGCGUGGUGAAUGACCCCUGGUAGGUCCAGUAGUCCCGGCAUGCCGGGAACAGGCAGGAUGGGUCAAACUUUGUGAAGGGUGCCUCCUUGCCCUGGGUAAGAGCAGGUUGCAGGUGCAGUGAGUGUGUGCAUGCACAUGCUCACCCACCCCAAUGCCCUUAUCACUUCAUUUGUGAGAAUGGAUUUCAAAUGCAAUAGAGAAAAUAGAACUUUUGAACAAAGUAGAGGCCUGUCAAAAAUAAAGAUCAAAGCGGGGAAGCUGGUUUUGCACAUUAUUACUUGAUCUGACACAAUCAUUGUCACACUGUGUUCCUUAUUGUUUUAACUGUGAGUAGAAUUUGUAAUUCUAUCACUCCUCAAGAAAAAGGAGAAACUGAUAUCCCAAGCGUAAUUGAAUUAUUUCAUGUAAGUUAAUGUUUUGUUGUUGAUGAUACCAAAAAAUAUCAGGCUUGCAUUUUUAUUGAAUGUUCUACUUGGAAUACUUACUCUCUCUGUUAAUAAAAUUCAAUACUAUUUUAUUAGAAUGGUCGCAAAAAAAAUCAAAAUUUUUCUGUUACUUAUAUGAGUCUGUUGUUAAGAUUUUAAAUUUAUAAGUGCUUCCCAGAAAGGUCAUCACCAAGACUCAACAGACCAGUGCUGGCUGACAUUUAGUAUCUCCAUGAUGGUAUGCAUGCAUAUAUGCAGUGUGUGUGUGGGGGGGUGGGGGGGCGAGGAUGCGGUGACCACUCAACUUCUCUGAUUCUCACUUAUUCCAUUGAGAAAGAGAUUAUCUGACAGGAUGACUAUCACCAUUAAAAAACUGAUAUAUGUGAAAUUGCUCUAAAAACUGCAUGCCAUACAAAUAUAAUAGCAUUUAUUUUUAUAUUUAUGCUUAGCAUAUCCAUCAAACUUAGUAACAGAUUUUAGGUGAAAAAAAACACUUGAAAAUGUGUAAGGAAAAUUUGCAUAAUCUGCUUUAUGUGUUAGGAGGGAAAAUAAUUUUUGUUUACCUUUGUCUUAAUCUUUUCCAAUGCAUCAAGGACAAUCUGGAACUCGCCUUUCUCACGUCCUAUCUGUAAGAAAACGGAAAUCCAAGUAUAAUUCUUUUACUUCUCCAUAAUUUAGGAUUGUCUUCAAAGCUGAUUUUGAUUCAUCCAUCUGCAACUAGUGUUUAUAAAUCUGCCAGAAUAUCUCGUACUAAGCAAAAACUUAAGUUUAUUUUUCCUCAAGAUUUUAGAGUAUAUAUUUUCUGAUCUAAAUUUGGACUCCAGGCCUCUGAAGUACAGGACCACAAAAUUACAUGUUGAUCUAGUUCUGUGUCUUUGACCUUCUCCGCAAAGUCAUUCCACUUUUCUAAAAAACAGAUUUAGAACCAAAAUGGACCGUAUGUUUCCCAAACUAAACUCAUUGUCUUUCUUCUUAGACCUACUCCACCUCCUGCUGUGCUGUGUUCAAGCACCAGAAAUGACCCAAUGAAUUGAGAACCUAAAACAAAUUAGGUCAUUCAAAGAGAAAGAAGCCAGAUUUUCACCUCUGGCUUGAAAUCUAGAUUAUGUUACCUCUAACCUCAUGUGUUAAUGACACUAAGUCCUCUUUAAAGCAAGGCUGGCUCAACAACACACACAUUCCAUGUGCUAUCUUAGCCAGGGAUCAUGUGAGUGGUGACCACCUCAAGCCGAGGGGAUGUCCAGCCAGGGACUUGGCAUCAUAUGGUUCCCAACACUGACUUUUCUGGUUUCCAGUGCAAUUGAAGUGGAGCAGUGAGAAAGGAAAAUGAACAUAUGCCACCUUUGCCCUUACCACCAUGAUAAUAAGCGCACUCUAAGGCUCUGUCCCCGCCACCUACACACACACACACACACACACACACACACACACACAUCCCACAUCUGGGGAAAAUUUAGAAGUGCUAGGGGUCCUGGAGUGUGGUAAAAUAUACACUUUUAGAGAAAAGCAAGACAUUUUGAGCUGAUCUUAGCAGAAAUAUCUUGAUUAGUUGAAUUAAUAAUAAAAUGUAUAUAGAGGGAAGAAAGUAAAAAUGAGGGAAUGAAACUCAAACUAUGCUAAGCAUUGGUAGGGAAAUACAUUUUGAAAGAAAAUAUAUGGUCAAUUUUUACUUUACCUUCAGAAAAAUGCCAAUCACAGCGAUCCCAUCACGCUGCUUCAGGGCUUCUUUAAAAGUGUUAUACUUGGGGUUCCAGUGAACCAAAUGAAGCUGAAACCAUAGAAGACAGAUUAGAAGGUAAAUUCCUGGAAUAUGGAAACUCAGAAUGGAUUAUGGCAGUUCCUCCUACCUCUGCUGCAUACUUGACUCCAUCCACGGUGUGCUCAGAGCCAUGAUCAUCCGAAGAGCCCCAGUGAAGAUGAAACUGGCGAAGUCGGUAGGGUCCAGGGAGAGGACCCCCUCUCAGCACUGUGAUUCAGAUAAGCUUGGUCAACAGUGAAUUCAUGCUUCUUUUACAGAGCUUAAUGGACAAAAUGUGGUCAGUGUGCUGGGUAGAUGGUGCCACUCCCAGGACACCAGACUCCUCAUAAAAUGAAGUCUUGGGAUAUGUCAAGAUAAAUGAUUGCUCUUUUCUGUUUUUCUUAUUUUGUUUGUUUGUUUCAUUAUUAUUGAAACAUCAUUUUAACAUUUAGGAAAGUAAAAUUAAAACAACAGAUGGACAAUGAGGAGGCAUACACCCAGAGAACAGGUCGGUAGUGUGGUGCAGUGGGAAGAAUUGGACAGUUGAGAACCAGGUGGAUGUAGGUUUCCAAUGCUGGCUUCACCCCUUGCUAGUUCUGUGAUCUUAGACAAGUUGCUAAACUUCUCUGAACCCACUUUCACAUUUCUAAGAAGGUGAUAAUAAUACCAAACUUUCAGAGCUGCUGUGAAGAUUAACUGAGAUUAAGCACCUUAAAGUGCUCAUCAUAGUGCCUGCACGAUGAUCACUGAGCAAAUGUGAAUUCCUUCUCCCCAUGUUGCUUCCAACUACACUUUUCUUUAAGACAGCAAGCAAGAACUUUCAUCUAUGCCUAAUUUAGACCGUGUCUGUUCAAAUGAGAUGAAAUGGAAAAUUCAGAAAUUUCCCAGAAAACCAAUCAAUUUAUAUGACUAAACUAGAUAAUUCUCAGCAGCAUUAAUUUGGGCUUGUGGAUAAACAUCUCAACCCAUUGCAGAGUGAUUCAGAGGUUCAGAUAUCUUCCAAAGUAUAUUGAAAACUAUGCAGAAACCGUAAGAUCAAGAUUUGGCAAUAUAAGCUAGAUCAAAAUAGAAUUCAGAGCACAGCUAUUUUAGAAGAGGUUGGCCACACUAAGUGGCCCAGGAAAGCCAUAAAUGUAGACCUCAAACAAUGAGGCUAGGCCUAUAUGAGUUUUUUCAUGUAGAAAUGGAGUGGUUCAAUUCAUUGCAUUUUUCCUGUCCAGCCACUCAGAACAGUUAUUAUAGGGACAUGUGAGUCCAAUUUAUUAGAAUAAACUGUAUGAAAUUGGCAAUAUUCAACUAUUUUUGCUCACAAAAAUGGCAUUUUCAUGUGGUUCAAUCUAAUAGACAUGUUUAAUUUUGUUAUGGUGCUUUCAAAAUGGUACUUGAUAUAUAAGGAGAAGGGGAAAAAAGAAAACAAUAGCAAUACAAAAUCACUGUUUAAGAAAAUUUAAAUUUCUAUAACUUGGAAUCUCCUAGUAGGUAGGAAUUAUGAAUAUCAUUCUUCAUUACAACAUCAUUAAGAAUGUUCACUUAUGUAUAUCAAUAAAUGUAACUUUAUUAGAAAUGUGGCUAUAAGGAAUUAUUUUGCUGUAUAUCAAGCACCAAAAUAUUAAAGGAAGAUUAUUUCUUACCUCAUUUAUUGUGAAAUAGUGUAUUUUUGACUAGCAUUCUUUUAUUUUACUGAUUUGCUUACUAGUGUAAGUGAAAUAAAGAGAUUUGUUUUUUCUAAACAUGUAUUUUUCAGUUGCUGUCUCACACACAAAUACUACUCAAGAAGAAAUUGUCAGAUAUUUCAAAAAUACUCACCAAAAUGAUUAAUCAGAUGAACCCCACUGAAGGCUUGAAGAAUGGAAUCUACGCAAUCGAGAGUGGAAGCCUGGCUCUCCAGACCAUGGACAAGAAGCAUAAAAAUCCUUCAGGUACAGGCCAUCAGAGUCUGAAGAAUACUCAUUUGAGCUUAUUGUCAUCUCUGUCCUAUCAUGUUCCAUUUCAGGAAUGCAUUGCCAACUUUUAGCUUGGACAUGGGGCCGUUUUCACAGAGACCAAGUUUGGAGGGGCUCUCCAGGACCGGCAUCUCCUCCUGGCCAGGUCGCCGCUGCCUGCACUCACCGUUGUGACUGGCGUAGCCCCACUCCUUGGCCAUGGUCGCCUUCCUCCGCGCUGGACUGCUCCUGCCUUCUCUUCCCCUGCGUGGUGCAGAGUCUCCGAGAGCCCGCGUUUUUAUGUAGCUCCCCCCCGCACACUGCAUGGCCUUAUUAGGAAGCCAAGGGCUGGAUCUCAGAGAGCGCCCGGCAUCCAGGAGAUGUCUGGAUCCUAGGUUCACGCGGAGCUGGAGACUGGCACUGAUUUAGCCACACUCCCUGCGCUGUACCUCUGUCCAUGAAAAAUCAAGAAUAUUCUGAAGUAUUGGAAGGCUACUAACAUAAAAUGAGUCAUAUUUCUUAAAACCUGUGACCUCGCUCUCCAAGAUAUAAUGAGAGAUUGCAAGAAAAGGAAGAGGGAAAGAUUUACAGAAUGGCUUUUAAUUUUUUUCUCCCCCUCCUAAGUUGUUUUCUGAUACAUUGAACCAUGCAAAGGAGAAUAAAAGCGGCAUAUCUAGUGUGUACAUGACAAAAGUAUAUUUUUCAAUAUCUGGUUAUGGUUCAUAUCAAAGAAGUCAGUAGUAGAUAUUUACAAUUUUAAGAGUAUAUUGUAAAAUUUCUCCUGUUUUAAUUCAGUAAUAAUUUUUUUUAAGACAAUGAGGAAAGAUAAAGCUAAUUUCAGUGCUAUCUUGAACAAUAUUUUAAUAUACAUUUCCUUAAUUAACUUUUAUUGAUAAUAGUAUUUAGUAUUCGGGGAUUACAAAACUCGAAAAGGAAAUCGCUCGUCAUGGCAAAGAUAGCUCAUCCCUAAGGCAUGUGGAAUGACUGACCACACUCAUAACCUGGACGCCAGGGGAGUCACUCCCCAGGGUAUUUUUGUGACAAGGGAUUAUUUGAUCCACACAAUAGCAGUGUGGAAUCAGGAACUAAGGCAGUUCGGAAAAUCCAAGCAAACAUAGUAAACAAAUGCCCUUAAACUCUGAGCUCCUAUCUGUCACUGUUUGAUCAGAAAGACUGCAGUGGUUAAUGGAGAUGUUUUAUAGUUCUUAUAAAAUGUAUAAUUAUUUGUAUGAGUAAAUCAAUCCACUCAAUCAUUACAAUAUUCUUUUUCUGGUAUGAGUGGUUAGAAGAUUGGCAAUUAAAUUUCAUGUUAUUUGAUAUAGUAGUCAUACACAGAAGACAAUAACAUUUAUACCAAGAACGAUCUAGAAAUUCAUCAUGUUGUUAUUAUUUAUGCAUAGAAGGAUACUUUUUUAAAAAAAUAAGUGCUAUUUAUGAUUAAUUUUAAAAGUGCACAAUAGCACAUAAUUUCAAAUAAAUGCUAGGUAAACUUUGCAAAGUGAAAUAUUUAAUAGCUUUAGAUGUGUGGCCUUUAAAAUGAUGAUUUGUAUUUCAUUAUACUUUUUCAUAAGAGGUUAAUAGAAAUUGGAAUUUCAAGACAAUUUAUAUUAAAUCAUGUAAUUCUAGGCCAUAAUAAGUUUUUCAGAAACUUCAUCUAAAUUUUUCUGCAAAUACAUUUUUCAAAAACCUCAUCGGCAAAUUUACUAUCUGCAUCUUAGCUGAUUUACUUCAGCAUGUUUGCCUAUACAUUUCAAAAUUCUCUGUCAAUAAACAGAUAAUUCUAAA